GGUAUAAGAGGUCAAAGAGUGUUUUGUAUAACAAUAGCUAAACAGUAUUUGGGUAUUUUAGAGGCCAGAGAUUGGACCUUGUUUUAUAAAGUUCCUUUGUUCUCAAGUUCCUACUUCGUUUUCACAGAAAUAUAAUGAGAUAAAUUAUUUUUCCUACUAAGUACAGUUACUCCAAGCACCCUAACCACUUGAGUGAUUAGAAGUGGUCAUGGUGCCUGGAAUCUUUAUGUGCAGGGUUUCACUUUGAAAUGCUGCACAUACUGAGA